UACGAAGGGGGCUAGCGUUGUUCGGAUUUACUGGGCGUAAAGCGCGUGUAGGCGGGUCGGUAAGUUGGGGGUGAAAUCCCGGAGCUCAACUCCGGAACUGCCUCCAAAACUGGCGACCUGGAGCAAGAUAGAGGCGAGUGGAAUUCCGAGUGUAGAGGUGAAAUUCGUAGAUAUUCGGAGGAACACCAGUGGCGAAGGCGACUCGCUGGAUCUUUGCUGACGCUGAGACGCGAAAGCGUGGGGAGCAAACAGG
rnacentral:rRNA from 1 species